AUAUAACGACCACAUCAUCAUCAAGCGGACGGGAGGCAGCUGUACACGUCCAAAGAAUGGGUGUCAGGGUAGGAUAGCGGUGAAAAAAACAGAGCUUGCUGGAAUUGUCCUUUUCUGAUAGCCAAGAUCAGUAAGGGUUGACAAAAUGGUGAGUUGGAUGGCAUGAUUCAGGAUAGAAACAUGUCUAUCACCGAAAAAUGGGUGGGGCUGACGAAAAAUAUAUCUAUGCGAUACGUGAGCAUCAAUCCUGCAAAUGGUGUCUCAAAAACUAGGUGCCAUGGCAUCACUUCGCUGCGACACAGAUGACGCCAAACACCGAAAAGAAGGUAUGCAAAGCUCGAGGGUGCAGGUAGUAGAUCAAAACCGAUGCCACCUACACUCAAAAAAUCAACCAUUAGCGAUAAGAUAAAAAUCUAUAUGCGUGCUAUGCAGCAAUCAAGUGGACCAAACCGACUAGACUCUAGACUAGCGAUUCUAACGCUCGUGCGGGCUAGGACUUCCUACAACCAAACCUGCUCUGAUACCAAUCUUGUAGCACCCCGACCCAGAGAGAUUGAAACACCCCGCAUUCCAUCCCAGAGAUUAAGUCUUCUAGAAUAUGACACUAUUUGGCAUAGAACAAAUCAGCUCUUUAUUACAAAUACUCGGGGAUGCAAGGGUUUCAAUAUGACAAGGAAUUACAUCAGCACGGAGGCACUACGCGUGCUCAGGUAGCUCUAUGCUAGCAGCAGAAUAACUUCUAGGAGCGGAACAACGAUGACAAUGAUGAAUGCCACUCGGCAGGGACUCUCGCUGGAACACUUAUCCUAUCUCACCAACUCAUCAAGCAAUCAAUAAUGGCAUGACCU
rnacentral:lncRNA from 1 species